rnacentral:lncRNA from 1 species
AAAGGACAAAACGUGCAACAAAAUUCCAUGUAAAGUGCAAAACCUGCCAAAUUCGUUGAAAAGGACACCGCCUGAUAUAUGGUAUUAAGAUAAAGGACAUUUCUUGUAAUUUUUCCGAAAGUCAAUUGCCUCUCCAAUGAUGCUAGAUUUAAUUCUUCACUAUAUUGGUUAUCAAAUUCAUCAUGAUGGUACUUAAUCACUGUUUAUUUUAAUCCCUAAACUAUUAAAAAUACCAACCCUAUUAAUUGAACCAACACCAACUCACCAGUCCCCUUAAUAAAAAAAUCAGAAAAUUAUCUAAUAAAAAUACCACUAAGACUUUUAAUAUAAAAUCUAUAAAAUAUCCCAUUUAUGGUCUGCCAGUGAUCAUCCUACUAUCCUAGGUAUCGCAAAAUAAUUACCAAUUCAAUGAACAUCCAGUAGGGAAUGCAAUGCCCGCUUGCAGACCAUUUUCCGAUAUUAACUUACGAACAGUAUCCUCCAAGGUUUCACACAGGUCAACCAUCAGCAUUCCAGGCUUCAUAAUGCUCCUCAUAUAUUUCCGCACCUGAAAACAAAGCACCAUAUGUUAAGAGCACAAGCAGUAAUAGAUAUUCUCAAAACCCAAAUACUACUUCUAAAUAAUACCCCAGUAGCAAAAGAUACAAAAAAAAGAAAAGAAACCUGACGGUGAACUUCUGCCGCUUGUCGUAUUGAGUCAUACAUAGGCUUUUCUAAGCGCUCUAAAUCUCUCUUUUCUUCAGAUGUAGUCCUCCAUAAGUUACUGAAAAGUCAAGCGGGAAUUACAAUUCAAAUGCCCAUUGGAAAAUAUAAAUUAAAUUUACAUACAUAGUGGACCCUUACUCGUCCUUAUAUUGCUGAAUUUCACCCUCUGGAAAGUCUCCUUGUGGGAAAAGUUGGGCAACUGGAAUAGUAGGUGGAUCAGUUUGCUCCUUUGUUUCCUUUUUCUUCCUGGGAUGAUAAAUGGUAACUAAGAAAACCGAAGAACUAGAUGGAUGAUGAUAUUGUGAACAGCAAGUCACAAGUGGGUUGAUGGUCUGUUUGCUGCAAUGGAUUAGGAAGUCUAGUAACCCGUAAAUAAAAAUCUAGGUUAUCGGAUCAUGUUUUGUUUAUGAGAACUCGCUAUCUGUAAUAACUGUUUGUUGAAUAUUUGUUCGUUAGUAUGGGAUGAUGAACCUUAAAAAUAUUGGUAAUGAAUAGUUGUUAUGGAU